UGGGGAAUAUUGCACAAUGGGCGCAAGCCUGAUGCAGCCAUGCCGCGUGUAUGAAGAAGGCCUUCGGGUUGUAAAGUACUUUCAGCGGGGAGGAAGGCGAUAAGGUUAAUAACCUUGUCGAUUGACGUUACCCGCAGAAGAAGCACCGGCUAACUCCGUGCCAGCAGCCGCGGUAAUACGGAGGGUGCAAGCGUUAAUCGGAAUUACUGGGCGUAAAGCGCACGCAGGCGGUCUGUCAAGUCGGAUGUGAAAUCCCCCGGGGCUCAACCUGGGAACUGCAUUCGAAACUGGCAGGCUGGAGUCUUGUAGAGGGGUAGGAUUCAGGA
rnacentral:rRNA from 1 species